GGAGUUUGUAGCAAUAAUUUUUGGCGAUCUUGAAUGUCACCACCAAUGUGGUAAGGCAAACCACAGUUGGCAAAUGAAACAAACUCACCGCGUUCGAACAUGAUAAUUUGAGCAUCUUCGCUUAAACGACGCGCUCGUGCUGCGGCUGAUGCUCCACCUGCAACGCCCC
rnacentral:antisense_RNA from 1 species